rnacentral:rRNA from 1 species
ACUGAAUAGAUACCCGGGUAGUCCUGGCCGUAAACGAUGUCCACUAGAUCGUGGUGCUCUGACGCCAUCAACGGUCGAAAGCAAAAGUGCUAAGUGGACCGCCUGGGAAGUACAGUCGCAAGGCUAAAACUCAAAGGAAUUGACGGGGGCUCACACAAGCGGUGGAGCAUGUGGUUCAAUUCGAAGCAACGCGCAGAACCUUACCUGGGCUUGACAUGCUAGGAUUAUCCCUAUGAAAGUAGGGUAGGCCCUUCGGGUACGAACUAGUACAGGUGCUGCAUGGCUGUCGUCAGCUCGUGUCGUGAGAUGUCGGGUUAAG